UUUUCCUGUGAUAGAUGAACUGUAUAUUCGGCGAGGCGGCGCCACCACUUAUUUUAUUUUUUGAAUUUUUUAAUCUUCUUCUACUAUGAGGGUUUCUUUCCCAGUCACUUCUGAUUUAUCGGAGGACCAAUAAUCUGUUCGAUUCGAUGAAUUAACUAGUUGCUGCAUCUCCUAUUCUGCAUCGCUCCGUACUCACGAUAUGCUUUGUUUCUUCUGCUCUGUGAUAUUAUAAACACUCACAUGGGUGAGUCAAAUAAGUUCACCAAACCUUCUUGCCGCGAUUUGUUUUCUUUGUAGAAGGUGGAUGGAAGCAACCUCGAGGCCUCCCUCACAGGAAGAUGCUUUGACUUUGAAUUCCUUACCAGAAGCCACGAUGGCUCUCUCUGAGAUCUUCUCUCAACUUUGCACCAAGGCCGUAGUCCUGUUGGCUCUGCUGCUGAUACAACUCAUGCUCCUCGUAAAGAAGCUCAGGUCAGAUCCGCGUCCGGUCACCACCACCCAAUAUCUCAAACUCAUCGAACAGAAGAACCCCACAAUUUGUUUCACCAAGAGAUUGAGGCAAGAAGGUGCAGAGUGCAGGGUGUGCUUAUCUGAAUUCCAGGAAGGGGAAAAAGUGAGGAACUUGAAAUGUAAACACACAUUUCACAGAGAUUGCUUGGACAAAUGGUUGCAGCAAUAUUGGGCUACCUGCCCUCUUUGCAGGAACCAAGUUCUUCCAGAUGAUGUUGUGGCCAAGUAUCGUGAGCUUCAGAAUCAGGUAGAAUCUGAUGGGAAUGAUGAGCAGAUUAUGUUCUUGUUAUCUGCGUUACGUGGAGGAAGUUCUUUGAACAGAUUUCUUUAAAACUUGUCCUCAAGAUAAGAACCAAAUUAAACUCUAGUUUCUUGUAUUUUGUACAGAGGGACUACGUCUUCUCCUUUUGGGAUCUUGCUGAAUAAUUUGGAUGUACCCUCGGCGGUAUGUGCGUAUAUAUAGAAGGAGACGAGUCAUCGGGGAUAUUUUGAAAAAGGUAGAGGUUUUAAUUAAUUCUGGAGUCCACAUCAGAAGUGAAAAAUCUCAGGCAGAUAUUUUUUGUGAGAAACCCAUCUGCACAACCAUCCUUUUGAUGAUUAAUUUCCUGUGAAAGGACUGUAAUCUGUGUGGAUUUUCAUCAUGAAGGAUGCUCAACUUGAUUCUUGAGCACAGAUGACAGGUCAGCUACAAGUACAUGGCAGUGAAGUAGGUAGUAAUUCUAAGAGGACCCUCCUGAAAAUGUUAGGUAUAGUUAGAAAAAGCUUGAUGCUCAAAGCACUUUGUUCUGCAGAAUGAAAAUUUGCCCACAAACCAGAAUGGCGUGGCCUGAAACAGAUAACGAUUUAGUUCUCGUACAGCUCGAAGGAGAGACAUGUAGGGUAGGGUACUAAAUUUGCGAAGCUAAGAAAGAGGAGGUCAUGCAACUCAGAAAAUCAGGAUUUGUAAUGGUUUCUCUCAUUUUAGACAAAAACCAUCAAGCCAUCAAUAGCAUUCAGGGUUAGAUACUCUUCCCUUUUCUUUGCAAUCUGUUUGUUUUCUGGAAUUUGAAUCUCUCCUGAAGAAUUUACAGGCAAUCAUUACAACUAUAGAACUGAUCUAAAAUUUUCUCUUUUUUUUUUUAAUAUUGCUUCCCUUGUAAAGUUACAUUGUCUCCCAAAAUUCUUAGUAACUAGUAACUCUGUAAUUGUCUUAAUGGCUUCUGUGAAGUGCAUGAAUAAUCAGAGUUCAAUAAGUUAA